UUAUGCAUUUUAUUUUUUGAUAAACCUUUUUCUGUACUAACACAAAGCGUACAGGUACAACCAAAGGAGUCAUAGUGCAUCAGGUUAAAAAAAAGAAAACUUUUGCUUUAAAUUGAACAAUUCAGGUGCUGUUUUUAAAGGUCCUUUCAAGUAAACAAAUGCUGUGAUUCUAAUUUAUUACAGUCUUAAACAAACACAUUAAAAUACGUAUUGAACUACUGUUYAGAAAUCAGUGCAUUAAAUCAAGGAUAAAGCAAAUAAUUUACUGACCUGCACUUCAUAGCYGUUUUAUUGGAAUUUGUGUAAAGAAAUUGGUCAUCUUACAGAUUCCAUCAUUUAGAAUUAAACAACACCCGUUAGAAGAAACAGAAGUAUUUUUACAAAACAAAGAU